AAAAUAGCAUAUAAAUCCACAAAAGUAGCUGGAGUCGAUGGACCUCUGAAAAAAGUGUGUAUUGUUCACAACCCGACUAAUCAAAAAUAUAGAGAGCGAAUCAAUAAAUUAUACUUACCCAAUAAGUGAUGUUGCAUAGCGUAACUGAAGCUGUUUGACAUCAUCUCAAUAAGACUGAAGCCUCUGAAAAAACAAGAAAAAUACAAUAAGCCAUAAGGACUUAUGUUGGUUUUAGAUAAAAUAAUAUAAGGGAACAGAAAGAAUAGACAUAUAGAUAUGUAUUUGUAUAACAACUUCACAUGUAUUAUAUAUUUCAAAAGAUCUAUAACAAGUUAUCAAUCAUUGAGAAUUUAACCCAACAGAAGGCCUUAUGUUAAUGACCCAACAAAAGCCCUUAUUUUAAUAACCUAUCAAUAUUAAAUAUGAAUAUUACUAGCAUUUUAGAGAAAUUAACAGUACUCAAAAAGCUCAUAGUGAGCAGGACAAAAUCUUCAUAAAUGGCCAAAAAAAGUAUUAUAUAUUACCUAUAUAAAUUCAUCUCUGAAUCAAACAUAAAGCUGGUAUAUUAAACUCAUAUCCUUCCAUCAAUGAAAUAUUAUAAACUGGUAACGAUCUGAACAAUUACCUGCAUUGAAAAACUAAGGCUAGAGCUCAAUACAAAAAGAUUUAACAUUACUGCAUAGUAGACGAGUCUAAGUUCUUGAGCCUGGCAUACAAUACGACAUCCACAACAACCUAUAUUAAACCUCAAGCUCACCAAUACGGAAAAAUACAACUAAAACCCUAGGUAACCAAUCAAAACACAAAUAUAGAAAAAAUAUGAGACUAACAAUAGGGAAACAGAGAGGGUUACGAUGAGACUUACAAUAAUCAUCACAGUCAAAGCCAUUUUCUUCCUCCAAAUAAAAAUAACGUUCUGAAAAAUCAAAUUUGUUGCCUGCUUGCGUAUUGGUUACUCAUUACCGUUGCUUGAAUGGAUUAAGAGUCGCUAGCGCCGAUGAUGGAGAGAAAAUCUUAAAUUAAAAUUUGCCAUAUCAACAAAAAACAAAAAUGGGGAAUGUGUGGGAAAUCAAGAAUUAUACCUUGGAAUGGGGAAGUAGCAAAACCCUAAUCAAGAAUUAUACCUUCGAGUGGUGAAGUAGCAAAACCCUAAUAUGUGGGCGGAUGGAGUGAUGGCUAUGUUUUUUGAUUUAGACCUGGAAUGGUGUACUGGAGUCUGGAGAUAUCUAGAGGUGAUUAAAACCCUAAUUAGUGGAGAGGUGUACAGGAGAUAUCAAGAGGUUAUGUGAAACAUGGAUAACAUAUGGCGCACCAGAGUGGCAAAUUUUUGGUGA
rnacentral:lncRNA from 1 species